CAGGAAGAGGAACCAGCCUGAGGGGAGAUGAUGCACUCGGGUGAACAGAUCCACAGCCAAGAUGGUAAACACGCGUAGAGGAAAAUUCCCACAGAUGCAUGCUGGUCAGACUGUGGGAUGCACACUCGCUCUCCGUGAUGCACUCUUUAGGGGAGGUGGGGACCGGCUGCAGACGCUGUGCACAGAGCCACCGCUUGUCCAGAGUCUCUGGGAGGAUAGGUCCAGCACCCCCUGGCUUUGUGAACCUUUUAGAAGGAGAUUUAUUUGAUCUCACCAUGUACCCUUGGCUGGCCUGGAACCUGCUCUGUACACCAACUAGGCCUCCAGCUCAGAGAUCCACUUAUCUUAAAGGCAUGCACACCAUGCCUGGCCUCUGGAUUUUUGUCUUCUGAGAGAAAUGGUCAAUCUUACACAAUGUCAUUGUUACUUUGUGUUGGGUACAAGUAAAUAUAAAGUUGAGUUAGAAAAUCA